rnacentral:rRNA from 1 species
AGUGAACGCUGGCGGUAGGCCUAACACAUGCAAGUCGAACGGCAGCACAGUAAGAGCUUGCUCUUACGGGUGGCGAGUGGCGGACGGGUGAGGAAUACAUCGGAAUCUACUUUUUCGUGGGGGAUAACGUAGGGAAAUUUACGCUAAUACCGCAUACGACCUACGGGUGAAAGCAGGGGAUCUUCGGACCUUGCGCGAUUGAAUGAGCCGAUGUCGGAUUAGCUAGUUGGCGGGGUAAAGGCCCACCAAGGCGACGAUCCGUAGCUGGUCUGAGAGGAUGACCAGCAACACGGGAACUGAGACACGUCCCAGACUCCAAGGGGGGGAAGAGGGGGGGAAUAUUGGACAAGGGGCGAAAGCUUGAUCAACCCAUACGGGGGGGGUGAAGAAGCCCUUCGGGUUGAAAAGCCUUUUGGUGGGAAAAAAAAAGCAGAAGUUUAAACCCCCGUUGUUCUGACGGUACCAAAAAAAAAAGCACCGCCUAACUUCGUG